AACCUUAUGGACCUGCGGGCGUAUACCUGCGGAAGGAUCAUUAAACAUAUUCACAGGGGGUCAGACCCAAGGUGCGUGCAAAACAUGUGCUUUGGCCUGCUCUGUCUGGAUAUUCUACCCAUGUCUUUUGCGUACUACUUGUUUCCUUGGUAGGCUUGCCUGCCAAUAGGACACUAUACAACCUUUUGUAAUUGCAAUCCGCGUCAGAAAUAAUUUAAUUAUUAAAACUUUUAACAAUGG
rnacentral:misc_RNA from 1 species